UGAGAGAUCAGGUGGCCGAUCUUAAAAUAAAUCAAUAUUGAUUUUCUUAUACAGCAUUAAAGUUUUGCGAAGUGAGGGGGCGGGGCUACUUGAUUGACAGUCCGGUCUGGAACGAUGGACAGGUCCUAUGGAGGAGGCAGCAGAGACUCUGCUCUCAUGGUUUGGAUUAAUUCUGAUAUAAUAACUGUUGGUUUAUUUAUCGGUGCAGCAGCAGAACAUUUUCCACAGACAGUUUUCCUGCCCGUUGGCUUGUUUUAACCAGUUUUCUACCUUCGGCUGAUUCUACCAGCAGACACUUAAAGGACUCUAAUAGUUCGAGUGAAAGUAGCAGUUCCUCCUUAAGGUCAGAGAUUGCAGCAUCUGAGGGCCUCUUCAAAAGAAGACGUAGUUGAUGAAGGCGUUCUGGAGCAGGACCAGAAAGACCACGACCAAGCAGCCUUGAGAUCUUAUGCAGCGUCUCCCUCAGGUCCCUCUCUAUCUCCCCACACAUCCACCAACCACUGGAACACAUCUCCAAAGUUCUGCCAGGGCCAGCUCAGCUUCCCCUCAGAAGAAGUGCUGCCACCUGUCAGAUGAAGGAGCCUUUUGAGAGGCAGCUGUCAUCGUGAUUGGACUGUACUUUGGUCUGUUCCAAUCCAGCUUCAGCUCCAGAGACGGCAGGCGGGACGAGUCAACGGAGGCCGGGUGGACGAAGGCAUGAAGCUGAGUACAAUCCAGAAAACAACAGAGGAGGAGUGCAAACAGAGUGGCAUGACCAAAGAACUACAGACUCUUCACAACCUGCUCAAACUCUUGGUACAGGACCUCACCACACGGGUCAAGAAGGUUUCCAUCUCCUCAUUUCUACUCUGAAGCUCACCUUCUCCUGCUCAAACUGCUGACAAAUGUUUCUGCUGCUCUAAAGUCUGCUCUCCAGAACUUCCUAAAAACUCUCAAAGUCUCUUCUGCUGCAGGUUGCUUUGUAGAACUAUUCCAGAAAACCUCACUAAACCACAUGGAGGGGCCUCAAGAUAGUCGUCCAAAUGAAACCGUACAAAAACCAAACUAGCACAACCUAAACACUAAAGUCUCCUGCAGCCUACCAGAGAACCUCUGAGAACAGAGAAUCAGGACAGGAACUCUUACCUUCUGGACAACCAAGAACACAGAAUGUGUCUGACCAAAAACCUCUAAAGACUCACUACAGCCAAGAUAAAGACACAACUCAGGUGCACCAAAUCCACUAAUCACUGCACACAUUAGCACCAUGUGCUAACUGUGGCUAAAGAACCUCAUUUACCAAGACAACUAUCCAGUACAAAGCCCUAAAACACACCAAGAAACACAUUAAAGACGAUUUUACUGCUGGAAGCUGCAAGCAAACGCCUAAAGCACAAUCUAAAGCAAUGGAGCCAAACCCGGUUCACUGGUGAAGAGAAGCAGAGGAAACGUUUGUCUGCAGCUAAAUAAAGCAGGAAGACACUGAGCUGCUCAGGUGUUCCUGAUAACACUGAGCUGCUCAGGUGUUCCUGAUAACACCAAGCAGCCACCUGGACAGCCAAUAGGAACACAGCUUACUGGAAGUCCAGAGGGCUGGCUUAGUGAAGUAAAGACCUUUAUCUGUUUUUGCUCUUUUUGAUUGUUUUAUUGUCUCUUCUGUUUAAUUUGAUCUUCUAAAGUCUAACUGCUGUCUUUUCAAAUGUUUUGUCUUUAGUUUGAUUCUUCUUAAACGUUUAGUUUUGCUCUUUUCUCAUCUUAUGUUCUUUUCUAAUGUCUGAUUUGAUUUCCAAAUGUUUUGUCUUUUUAAUGUUUAAUUGUUGUUUUUUUUUGGUUUUAUUUGCUUGUUUGAAAUUUUUUUCUUUCCCAAUAUGUAAUUUUACGAUUAAAUCUUUAAGGUUUUUGUUUUUAAAUGUUUUACCACCUUUUAAUGUUUAAUUUUCUUU